UCAUUCGGAUUCGCCAUCAUAUGUCCAACCGUGCAUUUGAUAUGCAUAUAUAUGCAUCACGAGCCACAGUUGGGCUGUAUGAUGGCGAUACCGAUUGG
rfam:Triticum aestivum genome assembly, contig: Triticum_aestivum_CS42_TGACv1_scaffold_095758_2AL